rnacentral:rRNA from 1 species
UUCUUUGCUGACGAGUGGCGGACGGGUGAGUAAUGUCUGGGAAACUGCCUGAUGGAGGGGGAUAACUACUGGAAACGGUAGCUAAUACCGCAUAACGUCGCAAGACCAAAGAGGGGGACCUUCGGGCCUCUUGCCAUCGGAUGUGCCCAGAUGGGAUUAGCUAGUAGGUGGGGUAACGGCUCACCUAGGCGACGAUCCCUAGCUGGUCUGAGAGGAUGACCAGCCACACUGGAACUGAGACACGGUCCAGACUCCUACGGGAGGCAGCAGUGGGGAAUAUUGCACAAUGGGCGCAAGCCUGAUGCAGCCAUGCCGCGUGUAUGAAGAAGGCCUUCGGGUUGUAAAGUACUUUCAGCGGGGAGGAAGGGAGUAAAGUUAAUACCUUUGCUCAUUGACGUUACCCGCAGAAGAAGCACCGGCUAACUCCGUGCCAGCAGCCGCGGUAAUACGGAGGGUGCAAGCGUUAAUCGGAAUUACUGGGCGUAAAGCGCACGCAGGCGGUUUGUUAAGUCAGAUGUGAAAUCCCCGGGCUCAACCUGGGAACUGCAUCUGAUACUGGCAAGCUUGAGUCUCGUAGAGGGGGGUAGAAUUCCAGGUGUAGCGGUGAAAUG